rnacentral:tmRNA from 1 species
GGGGGUGCGUGGUUUCGACAGCGGAGGCAGACCAGAGAGAGCAGGCCGAGGUGCCGUCAGCCUCGUUAAACAGGCGGCAAAAAAGUAACUGGCGAGCGCGAACUCGCUCUCGCUGCCUAAGUAAAGGCAGCGCGUCUGCCCUGGUCCUUCCCCGGCGGACCAGGAGCGGGCGUGAUGAUGACCGGGGUGCAGCGCUCCUGACGCCGAUAGGGGGCGCCUAAGCCAAGUCGGCUGGCGCGCGAGGCCUGUGUCGGUGCGGGCGUAGCGGGCAAGACAUCACUCACCGACUAAGCCUGUAGCCGCUCGCUGGUCCAAUCCGUUGGACGAGGGUUCGACUCCCUCCACCUCCACCC